rnacentral:rRNA from 1 species
AACGAACGCUGGCGGCGUGGAUAAGACAUGCAAGUCGAACGGGACUAAAUCUGUAGCAAUACAGGUUUAGUUUAGUGGCGAACGGGUGCGUAACACGUGGGCAAUCUGCCGAGAAGUGGGGGAUAGCUCGCCGAAAGGCGAAUUAAUACCGCAUAUGAUCAGUGAAGACAUCUUCACGACAUCAAAGCCGGGGCAACCUGGCGCUUCUUGAUGAGCCCGCGGCCUAUCAGCUAGUUGGUGAGGUAACGGCUCACCAAGGCUAUGACGGGUAGCUGGUCUGAGAGGACGACCAGUCACACUGGGACUGAGACACGGCCCAGACUCCUACGGGAGGCAGCAGUGGGGAAUAUUGGACAAUGGGCGCAAGCCUGAUCCAGCCAUGCCGCGUGGGUGAUGAAGGCCUUAGGGUUGUAAAGCCCUUUCGGCGGGAAGAUAAUGACGGUACCCGCAGAAGAAGCCCCGGCUAACUUCGUGCCAGCAGCCGCCGUAAC